UGUGUAGGCGGUUGCUUAAGUUUGGUGUGAAAUCUCCCGGCUCAACUGGGAGGGUGCGCCGAAUACUGAGUGACUCGAGUGCGGGAGAGGAGAGUGGAAUUCCUGGUGUAGCGGUGAAAUGCGUAGAUAUCAGGAGGAACACCGGUGGUGUAGACGGCUCUCUGGACCGUAACUGACGCUGAGACACGAAAGCGUGGGUAGCAAACAGGAUUAGAUACCCUGGUAGUCCACGCCCUAAACGAUGCAUAUUUGGUGUGGGCAGUUCAGUCUGUCCGUGCCGGAGCUAACGCGUUAAAUAUGCCGCCUGGGAGUACAGUCGCAAGGCUGAA
rnacentral:rRNA from 1 species